UCUGGGAAAUGCAGUCUGAGGGAAGAGCGCCUGGGCUGGAGCGGGAGCGUUCGGCCCGGCUCCGGGCUGCACUUGCGCAGUUUCACGGAAGGCUGGAGUGACGCCCACCUGUUAGGGUUCGUUUCCGGAUUCCGGACUUAGCGUCCCGCUGAGGACAGAUUUCGAAACAGGCACGGCGGCUGCCCUGACUCCCUCAAGGUAGCCGCCGCGGACCGUGGCUGAAGAUAAUUUUUGGCAGGCGCAGACAAACCCGGCCUCCCUUUGUGGAGUUGUGGACGUUAUAUCUCUAAGCCAGAUGUGAUUUCCUCAUUGAAGCAAAGGAGAUAGCCCUGAAUGUGGAGAGAGUAAUGUGUUAAGGUGGCUCAAAGAAGAGGGAAGCCAUUGCAGGUUUUUGGGUCUUUCUCUCAAUUUUAAGAGUUUUUUGUU